AAGAGAAUAAGCAGAAGCACAAAGUCACAGUGAGAGAGAUUCUGCCCAAGGAUUUCAAAACAGUGGGCCAUACUAAUUUGUAUUCCUUAAUGAAGCCAAAGACUGUCGCUGCCAAAGGAGUACCAUGUGCAGAGUUACCAGACAGAUGGAAAGGUUUGCAGCCCCUGGAAUUGCAGAGCAGAAACAUUCUGGAUUGCUUUUGCAGAGCAACAUAUGGUUACAGAGUCACUUAGGAAUAUUAGUAGUUUCUUUGGCAAUGCAGAGAUUUUGCUACAUAUUUGUUCUUGAAUAUAGCUAAAGGCUGCUCAAAUUAUUUUAUUGGAUGAUAUUUAACUCCA
rnacentral:lncRNA from 1 species